rnacentral:lncRNA from 1 species
AGAAGUUGUCCAGGGCUCCCUGAGGGAGGCCAGCACAAGAGCUCUGCCAUAAAAGGACAUUGGACAGAAGUGAAGAGUCCAAUCAGAAACUCUUUUUGAGAGACUGAACGCAAAGCAUUCAGAGAGUCAGCAGGCUGGAGAGGCCAAGACACACACACGAAGAAGGCAGGACACUCUUCUCCUCCUGCGGUUGGACUCCAGGCUCUAUGACCUUCAAACUCCAGGACUUACACCAGUUGCCCCUGGGCACUCAGGACUUCUGCUUCAGACUGACAGUUGCAGGACAGUGCAGCAUUUUAUUUUAAAGAUACCCCACAACGUAGGUGGCCAGUCCUGCUGCAGGUGCGGUUUCAAGCCUUUGGAGUUUGACCUUCUAGUCCAAGGUCAUUACAGCUGCAGGCAGAGGCUCCCGCGGGGAAAAGAGCAUUUCCUGGGACGCUGGAACUAAAUGAAUGGCCCACUCUCCAGUUCAGCCCUUGCCUCCUUCCCGACACAUAAAGUUCAAGAGCCACGGUCCUGAGUGCAUAGGAACAGCCCCAUCACCCUUCUCCCUCUGGGCAAGCUAGGAGCAGCGGUGCGAGGCUCCAUUUCUUCUUCUCUGCCUCCUGGACCUCAGCCACCUCUGCUCAGGCACAGGCCAGCUGCCCAGGCGUCCUCAUCUGGCGACCAGCUCUGACCGCAGCCCUGGUCUGCUCUCGGGGUCGGGCCCACACCCCUCUUCUUCCUCCUCUUCCUCCCAAGGCCUGGGCUCGGGUCCCUCUUCUCACCUUUCCCUUUCUUGCGUUGCAACCGUAACUUGGGAAAACCCUUCUUGAUCUUCCUCUCUCACCUCCUUUCAAACACAUGCUUGCAGGCUUUUUCCCGAUCUCAUCCUUAGGGCAGAUACGCUCCCUUGAUUCUGAGGUCUUUGAACUUGCUGUGAAGCCACACUACCUGCGUCCCAGGGUCUCCAGCUUGCAGAUGGACUGUGGUGGGACUUCUCAGUCACCAAGAUUGAGAGCUGUACUAGCCUGGCAUGCAGACAGCAGCUUUAGAAUCAGAUCUGCCUUCUGGCGGCUUCCCACCUAGGAGCCAUGGGACCUUUGUGAAGUCACCAAUUGUGCUGUGGAUGCUUCAUUUGUGAAGGAGAACAGGACUGCCUUGUGAAAUUACGGAUGGUGCUACUAAAACAUAUCAAUAAUUUGAAUUUCACUUUUGUGGAUGCUUUAAACAUCAUAGUCAUUAGAAGGUGGAUCUGGCUGAUUGUACUUUAAGUUUUCAGUUUGAGCUGGAGCUUUGUAUUAUAACAGGAGGGUACUGGACAAGAUGAGGAAACUGAGGUACAGAUGGGAAACUUGCUCAAGUUCACACAGCAAUUAAGUGAUCAAGUCCAAGAGCAAAACCAGGCAGGCUGGCUCCAGAGCUCACGAUAGUCCACCACUGCUUUCCACCAUCACUACGGAAUCAAGUCCAUGAGGAUACUCACCUUAUGUCAGUUGCCUAAGUUGGAAAUUAUAGAAUCUUCAAAUUGGAAGGGACGUUAUCAUCCAAGAUUUCAACUUUCUACUCACUGCAAAAUCCCUUCUGGAACUUCCCAGAUUGAUGAAUUUUCAUCAGCUCUGCUUGAGUACUCCCAGUGACUUGGAAAAAAAACACUGUAAUAUGGAUAUGAAAUAUAAACUGUUCAUGGAUAAAUUAUUGCAUAAUAAAAACAUGCCUAAUGGCUACACUCCCCU